UACGGAGGGUGCAAGCGUUAAUCGGAAUUACUGGGCGUAAAGCGUGCGCAGGCGGUUUGUUAAGUCUGUUGUGAAAUCCCCGAGCUCAACUUGGGAAUUGCAAUGGAUACUGGCAGGCUGGAGUAUGGUAGAGGAAGGUGGAAUUCCCGGUGUAGCAGUGAAAUGCGUAGAGAUCGGGAGGAACACCAGUGGCGAAAGCGACUUCCUGGACCAAUACUGACGCUCUUGUGCGAAAGCGUGGGGAGCAAACAGG
rnacentral:rRNA from 1 species